GUGAGUUGCUAGAGCAUGGAUGACAGAGCCUUAGCUGACUCUUAAUCAGUAGGUUGAAGGUUCGAUUCCUUCCGCGCUCACCA
rnacentral:tRNA from 1 species